rnacentral:rRNA from 1 species
UACGUAGGGGGCUAGCGUUGUCCGGAAUCAUUGGGCGUAAAGCGCGCGUAGGCGGCCCGGUAAGUCCGCUGUGAAAGUCCAGGGCUCAACCCUGGAAAGCCGGUGGAUACUGCCGGGCUGGAGUCCGGAAGAGGCGAGUGGAAUUCCUGGUGUAGCGGUGAAAUGCGCAGAUAUCAGGAGGAACACCAAUGGCGAAGGCAGCACUCUGGGACGUGACUGACGCUGAGACGCGAAAGCGUGGGGAGCAAACAGG